ACUGUGAGUACAGAGAGGGUGGUGCUGAGAGACUAACCAGGACCAGCAACAACUGUGACAGACUGGAGCAGGGGGCUGCUGGAAGAUGCCCCUCUUCGUGGCCAUGGGGGAUUAUGGUUGGGAUGCGCAAGGGGGCACUGAAGUUCCUUAGUGAUGCAUGGGAUAAAUGACACCAUGCAAAAAAGGGAAGGGUAGAUGAACGGCAAAUGGUGGGAGGGAGGCACCAACAAUUCAUUGUACUAUGAUAGAUUCAUGGCAGGUGGCAGUGUCCCCUUGAAGCAGAAAGAGCUCAAGGAGAGAGGGGUGAGGCCUGAGCAUAAGAGUCUCCCUCCUGCCUUGCCCCAGGCAGCUGCUCAGGAUCAACAUAUUUUGGGCUUACAGCUGAUGGAACAGACAACCUUCUGCAGUGCUCCUACCUUCCAGUCACAUCUGAUGCCACGUGCAACAAUGUCUACCCAGGACGGUUCACUGACAGGAUGCUUUGUGCUGGACAGCUGGACAGCAGCCAAGAUGCCUGCAAGGCAGUGCUCCAGGGCCUGAGAGUUCAAAUAACGACAGUGAGAAAUUGCCAUGAUUUGAUCCUGUCCCCUGGAGAGUCCCAAAGCUGUUGUCUAUGUCUUAGGGAGAUGUCGGCAGCCCCCUGGUGUGUGAAGAAGCCCUCCAAGGACUGCUGUCCUGGAAGAAAAGCUGCAGUGAAGAGAACCGGCUGGGGCUGUACACCAAGGUCUGCAUCUUUGAAGACUGGAUCCACUACACAAUUGCCAACAACUGAAGAGCAAUAAAGCCAGAUUGAGCUCUGA